UACGAAGGGGCUAGCGUUGUUCGGAAUCACUGGGCGUAAAGCGCACGUAGGCGGAUUGUUAAGUCAGGGGGUGAAAUCCUGGAGCUCAACUCCAGAACUGCCUUUGAUACUGGCGAUCUCGAGUCCGGGAGAGGUGAGUGGAACUGCGAGUGUAGAGGUGAAAUUCGUAGAUAUUCGCAAAGAACACCAGUGGCGAAGGCGGACUCACUGGCCCGGUACUGACGCUGAGGUGGCGA
rnacentral:rRNA from 1 species